GUUUCUGAGUUUCCUUUUUAGAUGGGUUAUCUUAAGCAUAAAUGGACAGCAGAAGAAGCAACAGCUCUUAGAGCUGCAGUUGCUAAGCAUGGGAUAGGCAAGUGGCGUAAGAUACAGAAAGAUCCAGAAUUUAGAGAUGUCUUGUAUCUACGUUCAAAUGUAGAUAUCAAGGACAAGUGGAGAAAUAUGAGUGUGAGGGCAAAUAAAAGGAUGCGUAAGGCCCCUAAAGAGGAAGGGAACCGUAUGGCUCUCACGGAAGUAGACGUUCUUGCAGUAUCUAGUGGGUCUGCACAGAUUGGUAAUAUCACAGAUACAGAUUGAUUGUAAGAUGAUUUGUGUGCGAGAUGGAAAUUCACAAAAUGGGCCAUCAGGAUAGAUGAAUUAGACCGAUUUCUGAUCAGCGUAGAGAUAGAUAUAUGUAUGUCUUUGCCUGCUUCGUCUGUGGUUGUAAAUAUUGUGAGGACUUUCUGGCCGGUAAAAUUCAGUAUGUUCUUGUAGCAUCAAAUCCCGGUUUGUUAGUAACUUUAAGAACCUCCUGAACUCAGAAACUAGGAAGUACAAAGGAACAAUAAAAGUUGGAUUUGCGUAGGAUGAUCAUCAUAUGGUUCUCCAUGGCCAUGUAUUUUUGGAACUUUCGAGACAUAUUUGUGAUGGUACCUUUAGGGUGCCUGUAUUUUGAAGUGAUGUGUGGUUGAUCGAAGUGUUCUUUUUA